rnacentral:rRNA from 1 species
AACGAACGCUGGCGGCACGUUUUAAGCAUGCAAGUCGAACGGUAGUCCCGCUUUCGGGUGGGAUGAGAGUGGCGGACGGGUGAGUAACACGUAGGUUAUCUGUCUUAUGGUUGGGGGAUAGCCCAUGGAAACAUGGGGUAAUACCGCAUGAGGUCCUGUAUUUUAAGGAUGUGGGAUGAAAGGCGCGUUAUGUGCCGACUGAAGAUGAGCCUGCGGUCCAUUAGCUUGUUGGUAGGGUAAAGGCCUACCAAGGCGACGAUGGAUAGCCGACCUGAGAGGGUGGACGGCCACACUGGGACUGAGACACGGCCCAGACUCCUACGGGAGGCAGCAGCUAAGAAUCUUCCGCAAUGGGCGAAAGCCUGACGGAGCGAUGCCGCGUGAACGAUGAAGGCAGGAAUGUUGUAAAGUUCUUUUCUUGGUGAGGAAUAAGGUUAAGAGUGGACUGCUUGACUGAUGACG